rnacentral:rRNA from 1 species
AUUGAACGCUGGCGGCAUGCCUUACACAUGCAAGUCGAACGGCAGCACGGGAGCAAUCCUGGUGGCGAGUGGCGAACGGGUGAGUAAUAUAUCGGAACGUGCCCAGUCGUGGGGGAUAACGUAGCGAAAGCUACGCUAAUACCGCAUACGAUCUAUGGAUGAAAGCGGGGGAUCGCAAGACCUCGCGCGAUUGGAGCGGCCGAUAUCAGAUUAGGUAGUUGGUGAGGUAAAGGCUCACCAAGCCGACGAUCUGUAGCUGGUCUGAGAGGACGACCAGCCACACUGGGACUGAGACACGGCCCAGACUCCUACGGGAGGCAGCAGUGGGGAAUUUUUGGACAAUGGGCGCAAGCCUGAUCCAGCAAUGCCGCGUGCAGGAU